rnacentral:tRNA from 1 species
UAGCUCAGUCAGUUGAGCGUGGCACUAACAAUGCUAAGGUCACGGGUUCGAUUCCCAU